AUCAAAUUAGGGCAAACUUAUGGAAACGUAAGGACGCAAAACAUGAAGUCUAAGUAAUAAAAUAAAAUACACGUAUUUUAUUAUAUUGACGGUUCGGUUGCAAUG
rfam:[Eubacterium rectale] ATCC 33656 chromosome, complete genome.